rnacentral:tRNA from 1 species
GCCCGUAUAGCUCAAUGAGCAGAGCAGCUGUCUCGUAAACAGCAGGACGAGGUGCAAAUCCUCGUGCGGGCU